AAAUUCUAGCUUUUUAUUCCUUAAUUAAAUCCUUAAAAUUGACAGAAAUGAGCCAAGCUACCAGUUUGUUGCGACAUGUUUUGAGUGCCCGCAAAAGAAAUAUCCUACAAACCAAUAAAAUUGAUAGCAAAAUUUUUCCUAUAAAAUAUGUUCUGGCCCAUCCACUAAAUAUUUAAAAAAAAAGUUCUUGCCCAUCUAAAUAUUUC
rnacentral:lncRNA from 1 species